GGUGUCGCUCUGUAGCAAGAAAUGCCUCGGCGUCUCCCCCUCCCCUAAACAUCUCCUCCGAAUGUGUGUAUGUGUAGCGCCGAGAAAGUAAGUCUGUGUUUCCAGCUGACUGCUCGCUCGCUCUCUCUCAGUGUGUGUGUGUGUUGUCAUUAUUAUUAUCCAGUCUGCUCCCAGCUCAGAAUGGCCAGAUUCACUCAGUCUGAGACAGGAAGGGAGCAGCACCCACAGCCGCCCCAUACCGCUUACUUCAGUCCGCUUUUCACUGGACCCGGGGCAGCACCGACCCAAAAUCCACUCCUCCUAAUCCCGCACCAGCACCAGUACGCUCAGAUCCCAUUUCCUAAACCCAUGAACGGGUCAGAAUCCAUCUCCAUCCAUCCGGAGAGCGGCACCAUGAAAGACCAAGAUGCCAUAAAACUCUUUAUCGGGCAAAUACCGCGGAACCUCGAGGAAAAAGACCUGAAACCAUUGUUCGAACAGUUUGGGAAAAUCCACGAAUUGACAGUAUUAAAGGACCGAUACACCGGCAUGCACAAAGGCUGCGCGUUCCUCACCUACUGCGCCCGCGAGUCUGCCAUCAAAGCCCAGAAUGCCCUCCACGAACAGAAGACACUGCCGGGGAUGACUCGCCCCAUCCAGGUGAAGCCAGCUGACAGCGAGAGCCGUGGAGAAGACAGGAAGCUGUUCGUUGGGAUGCUAAACAAACAGCAGACGGAGGAGGACGUGUACCGUCUAUUCGAGCCCUAUGGAGUCAUCGAGGAGUGCACUGUGCUAAGAGGUCCGGAUGGAAAUAGUAAAGGCUGCGCCUUUGUAAAGUUCUCCACACACGCCGAAGCUCAGUCCGCAAUCAGCGCCCUGCACGGCAGUCAAACCAUGCCAACUGGCUCCGAUUCUCUCCUCCCUCAGGGUGCGUCGUCCAGCCUGGUGGUCAAGUUUGCCGACACGGACAAGGAGCGCACCAUCCGCCGCAUGCAGCAGAUGGUGGGCCAGUUUGGCAUCUUCAACCCUGCUAUCGCCCUGCCCUUCAGCACCUACAGCACCUACGCACACGCGCUGAUGCAGCAGCAGGCGGCCCUCAUGGCUGCCAGUCACGGAGGCUACCUGGCGCCCAGCGUGGCCUUUCCAACUACCCAGAUCCACCAGAUGGGGGCGCUCAAUAUCAACAGCCUGCCACCCACCCCCAUGACCCCGGUGUCGGGUGAGUUUCAUCAGACACUGGCAGGCCUAAGCUCACCGCCUGCCAACAUCACCACAUCUGGCGUCCCCAGCAUCGUCACUCCUAUCGUCAACGGCUUUACCAGCAUCCCUCACCAGCCCAACGGACACCCUGCGGUCGAGGCCAUGUACACCAACGGACUGCCCCCUUACUCCACCCAAAGCCCCACAGCUGCGGACACCCUACAACAGGCUUUCACCGGGGUGCAACAAUAUACAGCCAUUUACCCAGCAACCACACUGACCCCUAUUGGCCAAAGCUUGCCACAGCCACCACAAGUCAUUCAACAGCAGCAGCAGAGAGAAGGUGAGGGACCAGAGGGCUGCAAUCUCUUUAUCUACCACCUACCACAGGAAUUUGGUGACAACGAACUCAUGCAGAUGUUCCUCCCAUUUGGUACGGUCAUCUCCUCCAAGGUCUUCAUGGACAGAGCCACCAACCAGAGCAAAUGUUUUGGCUUCGUGAGCUUCGACAACCCAGCAAGUGCACAGGCUGCCAUCCAGGCCAUGAACGGCUUUCAGAUCGGCAUGAAGAGGUUGAAAGUGCAGUUAAAACGGCCGAAGGAUGCGAGCCGCCCGUACUGACAGGGCUCGACCAAAACAGGGCUCUCAGCAACAGCACAGGAUUUGAAGAGCGGAAUCGCAAAAGGAAUUUAACUUUUUUUCUUUCAAAACUAACAAGAACAACACGAAUGGAUUUUUUUGAAGACAUAUCAGCAUUUAUUUUAGGAAGACGUUCGGGAUAGAGGAGGCGGGAUUGCAGGCGAACCGGAACCCGUGGACAAACCACACUCAGCACAGCACACGGAAGACAACUUCAAGAUCUCUCUAAAGACAGAGAACUCAACAUGUCCCGUCUCUCGCUGAGCUUCGCACCGUCAGUCAAGCAACAAACAAAAAGAAAAAAACAAGCGAGAACAACUUUGAUUUCUAUAUACAUAUUAUACACACAUAUGCUAUUUAAAGGAAGAGGCGCUUAUGGCUUUUAUUACACUGGACAAAUGAGGGUUAAACUUGAAGACCAAGAUAAAAUGCAGUGGAAAAAAAGAAGCUCUUGUUGUCCCGCUAGUGGACUUUCUUUCUCUUUUCCUCUUACCUUUUCUUCUGUCACCAUCUUUCAGCAAACGCAGGACAUUCUGUGGUCACAGAGGUUUCCAUGCCCUCAGUGAAACUGAUCAAUCUUUCACCCCAAAGGGACCAAAGGACCAAACAUUUUUAUUCCUCAACAGAAAUAUAUGGUAUUAAUAACAAUACUAAUACUGCAAACUACUACUAACCACAUAAGUUUAAAGAAAGAAAAAAAAAGCAUAAAUAUUUGCUUCAGGUCGGAAGAGGAAAGGGAUUUUGAUUUCUUUUCCUUUUACAUUUCUAGCUACUGGGUUUCAGAAUAUUUAAACAAAAUAGAAAAAUGAAGAAAAAAUAAAAAAGUAUUUUAAAAGCUAUACUAUUUUAGUGGAGUAGAAUAGGUGGAUUGGAGAUUGUUAGGAGCAUGUUCAGCCAUGAAGAAAAAAAAACAUAAAAAAAAUAAAUAAAGGGGGAAACUGUUCAUCAUCCAUUCAUGUCAGAAAUAGGCCCAUAUUCCAGAGAACAAAUGCAGAGUAUAACUAUAUAUGCAUGUUGCUGGUUUAGAAAAACCUUGGGUAGAUAUUCAGUACACACAAACAAACAUAUUUAUCUGAUGAAAGCUUUACUUAUUAAGCAGAAUAAGUACCUGUGGCUUCAACGCAAACUAUCCGCAAUAUAACAGCUGUACCAUUGCACAGGUAAAUAAUACAAAAGAAAAAAAAAUACAGUUAAGGCUUGAUAGGAUGAGAAAUCUUAGGGUUUUUUUUUUUGUUUCUUUUUUUCACCACUUGUGACAGUGACUUUAAGUGAAGUGGUUCUAGUUAACGCUUAACUUUAGUAUUACAAGGGACCUGUUGACCUUUCAUAUCAUCCAUUUUGUGCAUCUUUCAAGAACAUACUCAUUAAACGGUUGCUGCCAAAUGCUGAAUAUCAACUGAUAAAGCACAUUAGUAAGUAAAACAAGCAGUUACAAAGAUACCAAGCCUUAAACCCUUACACAGCCCACAAAAUGUGGUUCAUAACGGACCUACUGAACGGACAAACUUGCUAUUGCUUACAACUUCUGAAGCACACCAGAAUUCUACAGGAAGCAUCAAAUUAAGAAACAAAUUUAACCUCGGAAACCUGCACAAACAAUUCCACAUUGACGUUUACAAAAUUCAUUUCGCUAAUAUAUGAGUGUAAGAUAUAGAGAAUGCCGCGGGACAUCUUGUUGGAUCCGCAAACAACCCAUAUUUCUAAGAAUACGCUUCUCAGGCUGGAAUGGAUUAGCUUGACGCUAACUGUCUGCAGAGGUCUAAUGAGCAGCCUGUAAAGAGCUCACAAACAGCUUGCAAAUUGCAGCCAUGGGGGGGUUACAGUUGGAGCAAACUGAUCCAUCAAUAAAAAAGCCACCGAGUCUGACAUUAUGGUGUACUUAACCGCAGCUGUUGCUUUGCUCUCAGACAAGUCGCAAAUAUACACAACUCUAAAGCGCUCGACAAGAAUCUUAAAGACCCUGUGAAAUCAAAAUUGCUUAGUUUGUGUGUUAGCAGUGUGGCUAAUGCUAGCUGACAAAAACUAACGCACACAACGUCUAAUGGUAAAUCGGACCUAAAAUUUAAAUGACACAUUUUUGUCCAAUCAAAAGCUCUAGAAUGAAGUCUGAAUUGGUGGGUAUUUGUUAGUUUUGAUGCCAACCUAGAGUACUAAGUUGACAAUAUUACAUUUUACCAGCAAUGUGCAUUAA